AUUGAACGCUGGCGGCAGGCUUAACACAUGCAAGUCGAGCGGUAACAGAGAGAAGCUUGCUUCUCUGCUGACGAGCGGCGGACGGGUGAGUAAUGCCUAGGAAUCUGCCUAGUAGUGGGGGAUAACUUGCCGAAAGGUAAGCUAAUACCGCAUACGUCCUACGGGAGAAAGGAGGGGACCUUCGGGCCUUUCGCUAUUAGAUGAGCCUGGGUCGGAUUAGUUAGUUGGUGAGGUAAUGGCUCACCAAGACCGCGAUCCGUAACUGGUCUGAGAGGAUGAUCAGUCACACUGGAACUGAGACACGGUCCAGACUCCGACGGGAGGCAGCAGUGGGGAAUAUUGGACAAUGGGGGGAACCCUGAUCCAGCCAUGCCGCGUGUGUGAAGAAGGUCUUAGGAUUGUAAAGCACUUUAAGUUGGGAGGAAGAGCAGUUAACUAAUAUUUGACUGUUUUGACGUUACCGACAGAAUAAGCACCGGCUAACUUCGUGCCAGCAGCCGCCGUAA
rnacentral:rRNA from 1 species